rnacentral:rRNA from 1 species
AUUGAACGCUAGCGGGAUGCUUUACACAUGCAAGUCGAACGAGUGGCGGACGGGUGAGUAAUAUAUCGGAACGUGCCCAGUAGCGGGGGAUAACUACUAGAAAGAGUGGCUAAUACCGCAUAAUAUUGGAGAGGCCGAGAUCGGAUUAGCUAGUUGGGUGGGUAAAGGCUAACCAAGUCAACGAUCCGUAGAUGGUUUGAGAGGACGACCAGCCACACGAGGACUGAGAGACGGUCCAGACUCCUACGUGAGGCAGCAGUGGGGAAUUUUGGACAAUGGGGGAAACCCUGAUCCAGCCAUCCCGCGUUUAUGAGAAGGCCUGCGGGUUGUAUAGUACUUUUGGCAGAGAAGCGGUAUCUGCAGAAUAAGCACCGGCUAACUACGUGCCAGCAGCCGCGGUAAUUC